AAAAACAUCGCCUCUUGCUUCAAUGAAUAAGAGGUCACGCCUGCCCUGUGACUAUAUGUUUAACGGCCGCGGUAUUUUGACCGUGCAAAGGUAGCGCAAUCACUUGUCCUUUAAAUGUGGACCUGUAUGAAUGGCAUAACGAGGGCUUAGCUGUCUCCUUUCUCCAGUCAAUGAACUUGAUCUCCCCGUGCAGAAGCGGGGAUAGAACCAUAAGACGAGAAGACCCUAUGGAGCUUUAGACAAAAAACAGCCCCUGUCAAUAAACCCUAAACAAAGGGAACAAACCUAGUGAACCUGUUUUAAUGUCUUUGGUUGGGGCGACCGCGGGGUAACAAAAAACCCCCAUGUGGAAUGAAAAUACCCUUUUUAAAACCAAGAGUCACCACUCUAAGUUACAGAACAUCUGACCAAUAAUGAUCCGGCUAAAGCCGAUUAACGAACCGAGUUACCCUAGGGAUAACAGCGCAAUCCUCUUUUAGAGUCCAUAUCGACAAGAGGGUUUACGACCUCGAUGUUGGAUCAGGACAUCCCAAUGGUGCAGCCGCUAUAAA
rnacentral:rRNA from 1 species